UGCUCUCCCGAUCUAAAUCCCACAGUUAUCCAAGUAGGAUUGUAUCGUCUAAGCAACCAUAACUGAUCUAAUGAGCCAUUCGCAGUUUCACUGUGCUAGAGUUGGUACUUAGACGUGCAUGGCUUAAUCUUUGAGACAAGCAUAUGAUUA